ncrna:unclassified sequences type-P1 twister ribozyme
GUUAUAAAGCUACCAGUCUGCAAAGAUUGACAGUUCCAAGUCUGUUAAAAGCUGAGGAUAAC